rnacentral:tRNA from 1 species
CAUGUUCUGCAGAACACCUUCGAUGAUCUUGCGGAUCAUCUCUUCGUUAAUAUCGCUGGAGGUGUUCUGGGUGCAACCCUGGAAGCGCGG